ACGAACGCUGGCGGCGUGCUUAACACAUGCCAGUCGAACGGUGAAGCGCCUUCCUUUUUGGUGGGGGUGGAUGAGUGGCGAACGGGUGAGUAACACGUGAGUAACCUGCCCCCUUCUUCUGGAUAACCGCAUGAAAGUGUGGCUAAUACGGGAUAUUCUGGGUCUGUCGCAUGAUGGGUCUGGGAAAGAUAUUGUUUCGGGGGGGGAUGGGCUCGCGGCCUAUCAGCUUGUUGGUGGGGUGAUGGCCUACCAAGGCGGUGACGGGUAGCCGGCCUGAGAGGGUGGACGGUCACACUGGGACUGAGACACGGCCCAGACUCCUACGGGAGGCAGCAGUGGGGAAUAUUGCACAAUGGGCGCAAGCCUGAUGCAGCGACGCCGCGUGAGGGAUGGAGGCCUUCGGGUUGUGAACCUCUUUCGCCAGUGAAGCAGGCCUGCCUCGUUUGUGGGUGGGUUGACGGUAGCUGGAUAAGAAGCGCCGGCUAACUACGUG
rnacentral:rRNA from 1 species